UAUGUAGGGGGCUAGCGUUGUCCGGAUUUAUUGGGCGUAAAGAGCUCGUAGGCGGUUCAGUAAGUCGGGUGUGAAAACUCUGGGCUCAACCCAGAGACGCCACCCGAUACUGCUGUGACUUGAGUACGGUAGGGGAGUGGGGAAUUCCUGGUGUAGCGGUGAAAUGCGCAGAUAUCAGGAGGAACACCAGUGGCGAAGGCGCCACUCUGGCCGUAACUGACGCUGAGGAGCGAAAGCGUGGGUAGCAAACAGG
rnacentral:rRNA from 1 species